rnacentral:tRNA from 1 species
GGCCCCAUCGUUUAGUGGUUAGGACAUCAGGUUUUCAUCCUGGUAACAGGGGUUCGAUUCCCCUUGGGGUCACCA